CUCCUUCCCAACCCCUAGCGCUCCGGCUGGGUCUCUCCCCCGCCCCCCAGGCUCCCCCGGUCGCUCUCCUCCGGCGGUCGCCCGCGCUCGGUGGAUGUGGCUGGCAGCUGCCGCCCCCUCCCUCGCUCGCCGCCUGCUCUUCCUCGGCCCUCCGCCUCCUCCCCUCCUCCUUCUCGUCUUCAGCCGCUCCUCUCGCCGCCGCCUCCACAGCCUGGGCCUCGCCGCGAUGCCGGAGAAGAGGCCCUUCGAGCGGCUGCCUGCCGAUGUCUCCCCCAUCAACUGCAGCCUUUGCCUCAAGCCCGACUUGCUGGACUUCACCUUCGAGGGCAAGCUGGAGGCCGCCGCCCAGGUGAGGCAGGCGACUAAUCAGAUUGUGAUGAAUUGUGCUGAUAUUGAUAUUAUUACAGCUUCAUAUGCACCAGAAGGAGAUGAAGAAAUACAUGCUACAGGAUUUAACUAUCAGAAUGAAGAUGAAAAAGUCACCUUGUCUUUCCCUAGUACUCUGCAAACAGGUACAGGAACCUUAAAGAUAGAUUUUGUUGGAGAGCUGAAUGACAAAAUGAAAGGUUUCUAUAGAAGUAAGUAUACUACCCCUUCUGGAGAGGUGCCCUAUGCUGCUGUAACACAGUUUGAGGCUACUGAUGCCCGAAGGGCUUUUCCUUGCUGGGAUGAGCCUGCUAUCAAAGCAACUUUUGAUAUCUCAUUGGUUGUUCCUAAAGACAGAGUAGCUUUAUCAAACAUGAAUGUAAUUGACCGGAAACCAUACCCUGAUGAUGAAAAUUUAGUGGAAGUGAAGUUUGCCCGCACACCUGUUACAUCUACAUAUCUGGUGGCAUUUGUUGUGGGUGAAUAUGACUUUGUAGAAACAAGGUCAAAAGAUGGUGUGUGUGUCUGUGUUUACACUCCUGUUGGCAAAGCAGAACAAGGAAAAUUUGCAUUAGAGGUUGCUGCUAAAACCUUGCCUUUUUAUAAGGACUACUUCAAUGUUCCUUAUCCUCUACCUAAAAUUGAUCUCAUUGCUAUUGCAGACUUUGCAGCUGGUGCCAUGGAGAACUGGGACCUUGUUACUUAUAGGGAGACUGCAUUGCUUAUUGAUCCAAAAAAUUCCUGUUCUUCAUCCCGCCAGUGGGUUGCUCUGGUUGUGGGACAUGAACUUGCCCAUCAAUGGUUUGGAAAUCUUGUUACUAUGGAAUGGUGGACUCAUCUUUGGUUAAAUGAAGGUUUUGCAUCCUGGAUUGAAUAUCUGUGUGUAGACCACUGCUUCCCAGAGUAUGAUAUUUGGACUCAGUUUGUUUCUGCUGAUUACACCCGUGCCCAGGAGCUUGACGCCUUAGAUAACAGCCAUCCUAUUGAAGUCAGUGUGGGCCAUCCAUCUGAGGUUGAUGAGAUAUUUGAUGCUAUAUCAUAUAGCAAAGGUGCAUCUGUCAUCCGAAUGCUGCAUGACUACAUUGGGGAUAAGGUAAAAAAAAAAAACUUUAAGUAUUUCAUUCUUUCAUGGUGAAAUCAUAAGAGUUUUGCAUGAAAAAAAGUCUCACUUUAUUUGGAUUAAGUUCCCAAAUAGUUUCUGGCUUGUCAUUUUUUUUAAUGACCAAAAAGAAUGAGAAUUCAAUUAUUUGAA
ensembl:lncRNA NPEPPSP1 NPEPPS pseudogene 1